AGAGAGAGAGAGAGAAUCCAUCAGUCAAGGUCUCCCAUUGGGUUCAUUCUAGUUAUCAUUGGGUUGGCUAAAUUUCGAAUAGCCCAAUCUCUUAUGAUAUAUAUUUAAUUAGUCUCUCUCUCUCCGCGCGCACACGCGCGCGUGAAAAGGAAGGAGAGAACUUGAGUUACUUCGUCAUGGAAAUGAAGAAGAAACAAGCCGCAGCAUCAGCCUCUUCCUCAACUUCCUAAGCUUGUGCAUGUUUAUAGUUGCACGGUGGGGAGCUUUUUCAGCAUCAGCCUCUUCCUCAGCAACCUUGCUCUUAAACUCUGUCUCCAUCUGGUUCCAGAAGCAAGCUUCCCUUCUCUUCUUCCUAAUGGUGGCAAGCACAUCGUAUUUAUUGCAUAUCCCCCAUACUGUCACCUUUUGAAGGUGGUAAUCAACAUGCACUGAGUGUAUCCCUGCAUAAUGGAACAAUUAUUAACGCAAUAGAACAAUUCGUUAGCCUAUUAGCUGGAAUACUUAUAAAUGUUUCAAUUAGAUCAUUAAAUUAAAAACCAAGAAUAUGAGCUAAUGUCAUUAAGUUUGGCAAAUAUGAAUGUUUUGGAAAUGAAGAAUAUGGUCAGUGAACUGGAAAAAAAAACUUAUAGUUAAUUUUUUAUCAGAAAGGGGAGGACAAGAAAUCAUGUUGUUGUUGUUUGAAAUUUGUCUCCAGUCUCCUGCCAAGUUGUUUAUUGGGGUAAUGAUAUAAAAAAAAACCUAAAUUCAUAAACAAACCCUCAAAAUACCUGUUAAAAAUGUAAAAAUGCCAUAUGUUAAAAAGACCCACAAGAAAGGGCAUUCUUGCCAAUGGCUACUCCAAUGGAAGAAGAUUAUAUAGAUCCAUAUUUCAU
rnacentral:lncRNA from 1 species